ACGGGUGUAGCUCAAUUGGCAGAGCAUUGGUCUCCAAAACCAAAGGCUGGGAGUUCGACUCUCUCCACCCGUG
rnacentral:tRNA from 1 species